rnacentral:rRNA from 1 species
GGAAUAUUGGACAAUGGGCGAAAGCCUGAUCCAGCCAUGCCGCGUGUGUGAAGAAGGUCUUCGGAUUGUAAAGCACUUUAAGUUGGGAGGAAGGGCAGUAAGCGAAUACCUUGCUGUUUUGACGUUACCGACAGAAUAAGCACCGGCUAACUCUGUGCCAGCAGCCGCGGUAAUACAGAGGGUGCAAGCGUUAAUCGGAAUUACUGGGCGUAAAGCGCGCGUAGGUGGUUUGUUAAGUUGGAUGUGAAAGCCCCGGGCUCAACCUGGGAACUGCAUCCAAAACUGGCAAGCUAGAGUACAGUAGAGGGUGGUGGAAUUUCCUGUGUAGCGGUGAAAUGCGUAGAUAUAGGAAGGAACACCAGUGGCGAAGGCGACCACCUGGACUGAUACUGACACUGAGGUGCGAAAGCGUGGGGAGCAAACAGGAUUAGAUACCCUUG